AUCGAACGCUGGCGGCAGGCCUAACACAUGCAAGUCGAACGAGUGGCGGACGGGUGAGUAAUGUCUGGGAAACUGCCUGAUGGAGGGGGAUAACUACUGGAAACGGUAGCUAAUACCGCAUACCAUCAGAUGUGCCCAGAUGGGAGUAGCUUGUUGGUGGGGUAACGGCUCACCAAGGCGACGAUCCCUGGCUGGUCUGAGAGGAUGACCAGCCACACUGGAACUAAGAGGCAGUCCAUACUCCUACGGGAGGCAGCAGUGGGGAAGAUUGGACAAGGGGCGGUGGCCUGAUACAGCCAUGCCGCGUGUAUGAAGAAGGCCUUCGGGUUGUAAAGUACUUUCAGCGGGGAGGCGUUACCCGCAGAAGAAGCACCGGCUAACUCCGUGCCAGCAGCCGCGGUAAUUC
rnacentral:rRNA from 1 species